CCCUCCGUAGGUGAACCUGCGGAGGGAUCAUUACCGAGUUUACAACUCCCAAACCCAUGUGAACAUACCUAUUGUUGCUUCGGCGGGAUUGCCCCGGGCGCCUCGUGUGCCCCGGAUCAGGCGCCCGCCUAGGAAACUUAACUCUUGUUUUAUUUUGGAAUCUUCUGAGUAGUUUUUACAAAUAAAUAAAAACUUUCAACAACGGAUCUCUUGGUUCUGGCAUCGAUGAAGAACGCAGCGAAAUGCGAUAAGUAAUGUGAAUUGCAGAAUUCAGUGAAUCAUCGAAUCUUUGAACGCACAUUGCGCCCGCCAGUAUUCUGGCGGGCAUGCCUGUCUGAGCGUCAUUUCAACCCUCAUGCCCCUAGGGCGUGGUGUUGGGGAUCGGCCAAAGCCCGCGAGGGACGGCCGGCCCCUAAAUCUAGUGGCGGACCCGUCGUGGCCUCCUCUGCGAAGUAGUGAUAUUCCGCAUCGGAGAGCGACGAGCCCCUGCCGUUAAACCCCCAACUUUCCAAGGUUGACCUCAGAUCAGGUAGGAAUACCCGCUGAACUUAAGCAUAUCAAUAAGCGGAGGAA
rnacentral:rRNA from 1 species